rnacentral:lncRNA from 1 species
AGUCCUCACCUCCCACAUGCUUUUCAUCACCCGCUCUCACAUCCCAUCUGGGGCCUCUGCUUCCAUCCUACCAUUUCGCAAGCCUGGCCAACUCAAGCUCCGUGUGCUGCACCUAGAGCAGCCCAUCUCUGUGUCAGCUUUCAUAAGGAGGAGUCAGAGAAGUAAUCUGGAGCCACUAAGAGUCAAAGACAGGAAAAAUGGGCUUAAGCAGGAGGAAAAUUCCAGCAGGACAAAGAAACACAGGCUGGGAGGUGAGCUGCUCAGUUGCCAGAGUAUCAACCUGAGCCCAGGACACUGCCAGACUGCUGAGUCAAAGAGGGUUUAGCAGCCCAUUUUCAUAGACAGACAGGUGAGAGGAGGAUGCUGGACAUGGUCCCAGAGACAUGGGGACUCAAGAAACAUGAAGAUCUGUUCACAGCUAAGGGCACAUUUCCAUGCCGAGAAAUCAGGCGUGAGCGCAAGAGUCCUAUCGUCUACCAGAAAAAGAAAUCUUUGGGAGCAUUCAAGGAGGAAUGGCUUCAUGAUGGCAAUGAGCGGCAUCGCCUGAAAGACAGCCUUCGAGAGUCUCCCAGAGC